GACGAACGCUGGCGGCGUGCUUAACACAUGCAAGUCGAACGGUGAAGCGCUUGCCUUUUUGGUGGGUGUGGAUGAGUGGCGAACGGGUGAGUAACACGUGAGUAACCUGCCCUCUUCUUCUGGAUAACCUCAUGAAAGUGGGGCUAAUACGGGGUAUUCCGGGUCUGUCGCAUGGCGGGUUUGGGAAAGAUUGCGCCUUUGGGUGUUUUCGGUGGGGGAUGGGCUCGCGGCCUAUCAGCUUGUUGGUGGGGUGAUGGCCUACCAAGGCGGUGACGGGUAGCCGGCCUGAGAGGGUGGACGCACACACUGGGACUGAGGCACGGCCCAGACUCGUGCGGGAGGCAGCAGUGGGGAAUAUUGCACAAUGGGCGCAAGCCUGAUGCAGCGACGCCGCGUGAGGGAUGGAGGCCUUCGGGUUGUGAACCUCUUUCGGCAGUGAAGCAGGCCUGCUCCUGUGUGGGUGGGUUGACGGUAGCUGGAUAAGAAGCGCCGGCUAACUACGUG
rnacentral:rRNA from 1 species